GACGAAGGGGGCUAGCGUUGUUCGGAAUUACUGGGCGUAAAGCGCGUGUAGGCGGUUGCCCAAGUCGGGUGUGGAAGCCUUGAGCUCAACUCAAGAAAUGCACUCGGUACUGGGUGACUAGAGGACCGGAGAGGAUAGUGGAAUUCCCAGUGUAGUGGUGAAAUACGUAGAGAUUGGGAAGAACACCAGUGGCGAAGGCGGCUAUCUGGACGGUUUCUGACGCUAAGACGCGAAAGCGUGGGGAGCAAACAGG
rnacentral:rRNA from 1 species